rnacentral:rRNA from 1 species
GACGAACGCUGGCGGCGCGCUUAACACAUGCAAGUCGAGCGAGAACCAGGGCUUCGGCCCUGGGGACAGCGGCGAACGGGUGAGUAACACGUGGGUAAUCCACCCUCGGCACCGGAAUAGCCCGGGGAAACCCGGAUUAAUGCCGGAUGGCCCGCCGGCCCUGCGGGGCUGGCGGAAAAGGUAGCUUCGGCCUCCGGCCGAGGACGAGCCCGCGACGGAUUAGCUUGUUGGUGGGGUAACGGCCUACCAAGGCUGCGAUCCGUAGCUGGUCUGAGAGGACGAGCAGCCACACUGGGACUGAGACACGGCCCAGACUCCUACGGGAGGCUGCAGUGGGGAAUCUUGCGCAAUGGGCGAAAGCCGGACGCAGCGACGCCGCGUGAGGGAAGAAGGCCUUCGGGUUGUAAACCUCUUUCAGGAGGGACGAAGCCACUCGGGUUAAUAGCCCAGAGGGUGACGGUACCUCCAGAAGAAGCCCCGGCUAGCUACGUGCCAGCCGCCGCCGUAAUAC